rnacentral:rRNA from 1 species
AACGAACGCUGGCGGCAUGCCUAACACAUGCAAGUCGAACGAGACCUCCGGGUCUAGUGGCGCACGGGUGCGUAACGCGGGGGAACCUGCCCGUAGGUUCGGAAUAACUCCCCGAAAGGGGUGCUAAUACCGGAUAAUGUCUUCGGACCAAAGAUUUAUCGCCUUUGGAUGGGCCCGGGUUGGAUUAGCUAGUUGGUAGGGUAAAAGCCUACCAAGGCGACGAUCCAUAGCUGGUCGGAGAGGAUGAUCAGCCACACUGGGACUGAGACACGGCCCAGACUCCUACGGAAAGCAGCAGUGGGGAAUAUUGGACAAUGGGCGAAGGCCUGAUCCAGCCAUGCCGCGUGAGUGAUGAAGGCGUUAGGGUUGUAAAGCUCUUUUACACGGGAUGAUAAUGACAGUACCGGGAGAAUAAGCUCCGGCUAACUCCGUG